GUGGUGUGCUCAGAGCAGGGAUCCUGAAGAAUGGACUCUCUGUUUACAACACACCCAACAGUAAUCUGGGGGCACUGCAAUAAGGAGCACAAUACUUGUGUCCUCCUGUGAGCAAGUGCCCUACAUGU
ensembl:snoRNA Gm24907 small nucleolar RNA SNORA11